rnacentral:rRNA from 1 species
GAUCAUGGCUCAGAGCGAACGCUGGCGGCAGGCUUAACACAUGCAAGUCGAGCGGGCAUCCUUGUGGUGUCAGCGGCAGACGGGUGAGUAACGCGUGGGAACGUGCCCUUCGGUUCGGAAUAACUCAGGGAAACUUGAGCUAAUACCGGAUACGCCCUUAUGGGGAAAGGUUUAUCUGCCGAAGGAUCGGCCCGCGUCUGAUUAGCUAGUUGGUGAGGUUACGGCUCACCAAGGCGACGAUCAG